ACGACGCUGGCGGCGUGCUUAACACAUGCAAGUCGAACGGUGAAGGGGAGCUUGCUCCCCGGAUCAGUGGCGAACGGGUGAGUAACACGUGGGCAACCUGCCCCAGACUUCGGGAUAACGCUUCGAAAGAGGUGCUAAUACCGGAUACGAACUCCUUGGGCAUCCCGGGAGUUGGAAAGUUUUUCGGUCUGGGAUGGGCCCGCGGCCUAUCAGCUUGUUGGUGAGGUAACGGCUCACCAAGGCGACGACGGGUAGCCGGCCUGAGAGGGCGACCGGCCACACUGGGACUGAGACACGGCCCAGACUCCUACGGGAGGCAGCAGUGGGGAAUAUUGCGCAAUGGGCGAAAGCCUGACGCAGCAACGCCGCGUGAGGGAUGACGGCCUUCGGGUUGUAAACCUCUUUCAGCAGGGAAGAAGCGAAAGUGACGGUACCUGCAGAAGAAGCACCGGCUAACUACGUG
rnacentral:rRNA from 1 species